AGAGUUUGAUCCUGGCUCAGAACGAACGCUGGCGGCAUGCCUAACACAUGCAAGUCGAACGAAGGCUUCGGCCUUAGUGGCGCACGGGUGAGUAGCGCGUGGGAACCUGCCCUUCGGUGGGGGAUAACCGAGGGAAACUUCGGCUAAUACCGCAUGCGCCCCGGGGCAACUCGGGGGAAAGAUUUAUCGCUGAAGGAGGGGCCCGCGUCGGAUUAGGUAGUUGGUGGGGUAAUGGCCUACCAAGCCUGUGAUCCGUAGCUGGUCUGAGAGGAUGAUCAGCCACACUGGGACUGAGACACGGCCAGACUCCUACGGGAGGCAGCAGUGGGGAAUAUUGGACAAUGGGGGCAACCCUGAUCCAGCAAUGCCGCGUGAGUGAGGAAGGCCUUAGGGUUGUAAAGCUCUUUCGCACGCGACGAUGAUGACGGUAGCGUGAGAAGAAGCCCCGGCUAACUUCGUGCCAGCAGCCGCGGUAAUAC
rnacentral:rRNA from 1 species